AAUGAUUGAUAGGGAUAGUUGGGGGUGCUAGUAUUCAGCGGCCAGAGGUGAUUCUCGGACGCUGAAGACUAACUUAUGCGAAAGCAUUCACCAAGGAUGUCUUCUUUAAUCAAGAACGAAAGUUGGGGGAUCGAAGACGAGCAGAUACCGUCGUAGUCUCUUCCAUAUACUAUGCCGACUAGGGAUGAGUGUACGUUGCAUUUCCGCGUUCAUUCGCUCCUUGUGAGAAAUCAAAGUCUCUGGGCUCCGGUUCGAGUAUGGACGCAAAGCUGAAACUUAAAAGAAUUGACGGAAGGGUACCACCAGGAGUGGAGCCUGCGGCUUAAUUUGACUCAACACGGGAAAACUUACCAGGUCCAGACACAGUAAGGAUUGACAGAUUGAAGAUCUUUCUUGAUUCUGUGGGUGGUGGUGCAUGGCCGUUCUUAGUUGGUGGAGUGAUUUGUCUGGUUAAUCCCCUUAAC
rnacentral:rRNA from 1 species